CCUACGGGCGGCAGCAGUCGAGACUCAUUCACAAUGGGGGAAACCCUGAUGGUGCGACGCCGCGUGGGGGAAUGAAGGUCUUCGGAUUGUAAACCCCUGUCAUGUGGGAGCAAAUUAAAAAGAUAGUACCACAAGAGGAAGAGACGGCUAACUCUGUGCCAGCAGCCGCGGUAAUACAGAGGUCUCAAGCGUUGUUCGGAAUCACUGGGCGUAAGGCGUGCGUAGGCUGUUUCGUAAGUCGUGUGUGAAAGGCGCGGGCUCAACCCGCGGACGGCACAUGAUACUGCGAGACUAGAGUAAUGGAGGGGGAACCGGAAUUCUCGGUGUAGCAGUGAAAUGCGUAGAUAUCGAGAGGAACACUCGUGGCGAAGGCGGGUUCCUGGACAUUAACUGACGCUGAGGCACGAAGGCCAGGGGAGCGAAAGGGAUUAGAUACCCGAGUAGUC
rnacentral:rRNA from 1 species